rnacentral:rRNA from 1 species
UACGGAGGGUGCAAGCGUUAUCCGGAUUUACUGGGUUUAAAGGGUGCGUAGGCGGCUUAAUAAGUCAGUGGUGAAAGCCCAGAGCUCAACUCUGGAACUGCCAUUGAUACUGUUAGGCUUGAGUAUGGUUGAAGUAGGCGGAAUGUAGCAUGUAGCGGUGAAAUGCUUAGAUAUGCUACAGAACACCGAUUGCGAAGGCAGCUUACUAAACCAUUACUGACGCUGAGGCACGAAAGCGUGGGGAGCGAACAGG